rnacentral:rRNA from 1 species
AUUGAACGCUGGCGGCAGGCCUAACACAUGCAAGUCGAACGGGUGGCGGACGGGUGAGUAAGGUCUGGGAAACUGGCUGAUGGAGGGGGAUAACUACUGGAAACGGUAGCUACUACCGCAUACCAUCGGAUGUGCCCAGAUGGGAUUAGCUAGUAGGUGGGGUAAAGGCUCACCUAGGCGACGCUGCCUAGCUGGUCUGAGAGGAUGAGCAGCCACACUGGAACUGAGACACGGCCCAGACUCCUACGGGAGGCAGCAGUGGGGAAUAUUGCACAAUGGGCGCAAGCCUGAUGCAGCAAUGCCGCGUGUGUGAAGAAGGCUUUCGGGUUGUAAAGUUCUUUCAGCGGGGAGGCGUUACCCAAACAAGAAGCAACGGCUAACUCCGUGCCAGCCGCCGCGGUAAUUC